CCUACGGGUGGCUGCAGUGAGGAAUAUUGGUCAAUGGGCGCAAGCCUGAACCAGCCAAGUAGCGUGAAAGAUGACUGCCCUACGGGUUGUAAACUUCUUUUAUAAAGGAAUAAAGUGAGGCACGUGUGCCUUUUUGUAUGUACUUUAUGAAUAAGGAUCGGCUAACUCCGUGCCAGCAGCCGCGGUAAUACGGAGGAUCCGAGCGUUAUCCGGAUUUAUUGGGUUUAAAGGGAGCGUAGAUGGGUUGUUAAGUCAGUUGUGAAAGUUUGCGGCUUAACCGUAAAAUUGCAAUUGAUACUGGCAGACUUGAGUAUAGUUGAGGUAGGCGGAAUGCGUGGUGUAGCGGUGAAAUGCUUAGAUAUCACGAAGAACUUCGAUUGCGAAGGCAGCCUACUAAACUGCAACUGACAUUGAUGCUCGAAAGUGUGGGUAUCAAACAGGAUUAGAUACCCGGGUAGUC
rnacentral:rRNA from 1 species